rnacentral:tRNA from 1 species
GGGGUUGUGGCUCAGAGGUAGACUGCUUGCCUAGCACGCAUGAGGCACUGGGUUCGAUCCUCAGCACCACA